rnacentral:rRNA from 1 species
UGAGGAAUAUUGCACAAUGGGCGCAAGCCUGAUGCAGCAACGCCGCGUGAGGGACGAAGGCCUUCGGGUUGUAAACCUCUUUUCUGAGGGACGAGGAAGGACGGUACCUCAGGAAUAAGUCUCGGCUAACUACGUGCCAGCAGCCGCGGUAAAACGUAGGAGGCGAGCGUUAUCCGGAUUUACUGGGCGUAAAGCGCGCGCAGGUGGCUUGGUUAGUCGGACAUGAAAGCUCCUGGCUUAGCUGGGAGAGGCUGUUCGAUACUGCGGGGCUUGAGGUUGGGAGAGGGACGCGGAAUUCCCGGUGUAGUGGUGGAAUGCGUAGAUAUCGGGAGGAACACCAGUGGCGCAAGCGGCGUCCUGGCCCACACCUGACGCUGAGGUGCGAAAGCGUGGGUAGCAACAG